GUUUCUGUAGUGUAGUGGUUAUCACGUCCGCCUAACACGCGGAAGGUCGCCGGUUCAAUCCCGGCCGGAAACA
rnacentral:tRNA from 1 species